AGUGGCGGACGGGUGAGUAACGCGUGAGAAUCUGCCUUGGGGUCGGGGACAACCACUGGAAACGGUGGCUAAUACCGGAUAAGCCGAUUGGUGAAAGAUUUAUUGCCCGAAGAGGAGCUCGCGUCUGAUUAGCUAGUUGGUGAGGUAAGAGCUCACCAAGGCAGCGAUCAGUAGCUGGUCUGAGAGGACGAUCAGCCACACUGGGACUGAGACACGGCCCAGACUCCUACGGGAGGCAGCAGUGGGGAUUUUCCGCAAUGGGCGAAAGCCUGACGGAGCAAGACCGCGUGAGGGAGGAAGGCUCUUGGGUUGUAAACCUCUUUUCUCAGGGAAGAAGCUCUGACGGUACCUGAGGAAUCAGCCUCGGCUAACUCCAUGCCAGCAGCCGCGGUAAUACGGAGGAGGCAAGCGUUAUCCGGAAUUAUUGGGCGUAAAGCGUCCGCAGGUGGCGAUUCAAGUCUGCUGUCAAAGCACGGGGCUUAACUCCGUAAAGGCAGUGGAAACUGAAUAGCUAGAGUGCCGUAGGGGUAGAGGGAAUUCCCGGUGUAGCGGUGAAAUGCGUAGAGAUCGGGAAGAACAUCGGUGGCGAAAGCGCUCUACUGGACGGCAACUGACACUCAGGGACGAAAGCUAGGGGAGCGAAUGGGAUUAGAUACCCC
rnacentral:rRNA from 1 species